rnacentral:rRNA from 1 species
UGGCGGCGUGCCUAAUACAUGCAAGUAGAACGCUGAAGAGAGGAGCUUGCUCUUCUUGGAUGAGUUGCGAACGGGUGAGUAACGCGUAGGUAACCUGCCUGGUAGCGGGGGAUAACUAUUGGAAACGAUAGCUAAUACCGCAUGAUAUUAAUUAUCGCAUGAUAAUUAAUUGAAAGAUGCAAUUGCAUCACUACCAGAUGGACCUGCGUUGUAUUAGCUAGUUGGUGAGGUAACGGCUCACCAAGGCGACGAUACAUAGCCGACCUGAGAGGGUGAUCGGCCACACUGGGACUGAGACACGGCCCAGACUCCUACGGGAGGCAGCAGUAGGGAAUCUUCGGCAAUGGGGGGAACCCUGACCGAGCAACGCCGCGUGAGUGAAGAAGGUUUUCGGAUCGUAAAGCUCUGUUGUAAGAGAAGAACGGGUGUGAGAGUGGAAAGUUCACACUGUGACGGUAUCUUACCAGAAAGGGACGGCUAACUACGGGGCC